rnacentral:rRNA from 1 species
UGCCAGCCGCCGCGGUAACACGGGGGGCGCAAGCGUUAUUCGGAAUUACUGGGCGUAAAGCGUACGUAGGCGGAUCAGAAAGUAAGGGGUGAAAUCCCACGGCUCAACCCCGGAACUGCCUUGUAAACUCCUGGUCUUGAGUUCGAGAGAGGUGAGUGGAAUUCCGAGUGUAGAGGUGAAAUUCGUAGAUAUUCGGAGGAACACCAGUGGCGAAGGCGGCUCACUGGCUCGAUACUGACGCUGAGGUACGAAAGUGUGGGGAGCAAACAGGAUUAGAUA